UCUCUGCGGUCAGACUCCAGGUUGCUCAUUGAUUUAUUUUUGUUAUUUGUUGGUUUAAAUAUCGUAAAAAUAAAUGUGGCUGCGGCGCGUCGGACAGAGGAGCCAAUGUGGCAGAAAGCAGCAGAAAGCCCCCCUUAUUCUGCCCUAAUGCCCCCCGGGGGUCUGGCUGCACACCGGCUCACUUCACCUGAACCGGCAGCCCGGUCUGUGGCGCUGAAAUCUCCAUGGAGCCCUCCUGACCCGUACGGAAGCCCAUUAGUGCCACUGGCAGGAUAUAUGAGCUUCUGGCCUAUUUAAAGCCCUGGAUUCAUGUGGAAGUCUGUCUCCUCUGGUUCUGUCUGAUCUGCUGGGGUUCCAGAGUUCAUUCCUGUUUCUUUACAACAGAAUCAACUGAAUUGAACAAACAGCAAGCAGUUUCACUUCCUGGUUCACCAACAGGGUCACCUGCAGUGACUCCGAGCCGCCAGCGGGGGCAGCGCUCCGACCGUUGGUCGGUCUCUCCAGCGUUGCCUCAUUUCGUUGCCAUUGAUUGCUGAACCCUCCUCCGUGAGCCAGCUGACCCAAACCCAAAUGACCAGGAAGGAGUCCUUGGUCAGCUGUUGCUACGGCAACGUCUGAAAGCAGAAACGAUAACCUGCAGGCAUUUCUGCUGCGGUACCAGACGAUGCUUCUGCUGCUGGCAGGAAUGGCCUUCCGUACCUGGCUGUGUUUCUGGAGAGAACGCAGUGAGGAGCAGCUCACCUGGUGGCCCCGCCCCCUGCACAAGCCCCGCCCCCAGUCAGCUUGGUUUGUAGUUUUGGACCAGCCGCCUCUGGUUCCUCUAUUAGCCGGUAAGCAGUUCUGGUUCUGGCUGCUGUUGGCUCAGUGGGUUAAGGUUAGUCUCCCUCCUCUUCCUCACCUCAGGUUUACUCUGCCUCGCUCUUCAUCAUCACUGUGACCUCAGCUUCCUGUUCUGACCAACAACCAGCAGAUCAGCCAGAGAAACACGAAGAGUCCAGAACCCUCAGCAACCGACCGAACUCUAAUCCUGGAUUUCAGCACCUUGUUGCCCAGCUCCCAGCUGUCCCAGUAACCCUCCAGCCUCCCAGUCCCGACCCAGUUCCACUGACAGCCUUCCAGCCGAUGCUUUUCACACCAGUACGUCACUCCCAGUUCAGAUGAAACCAGUGUCCUUCCCAGCUCAGCCAUAAAUUCCUCACACAGCCGACAGUUUCCAUCUGCAGUCCUUACAGGAGGAAACCGAUCAGGUGUGUUGGUCACUUCCUGUCUGGGUCUCUGUCCUGCUACCUCUGCUGAGCGUGGCUCCGUUCUCCCGGUAGUCCUGG